rnacentral:tRNA from 1 species
GCCCAGGUGGCCUAGUCGGUUAGGGCGCCAGACUCAUAAAUCUGGAGGUCACGGGUUCGGAUCCCGUCCUGGGCA